AUGGGGACCCGUAUGAAUGGCAUAACGAGGGCUAAACUGUCUCCUUUUCCCAGUCAAUGAAAUUGAUCCCCCCGUGCAGAAGCGGGGAUGCCCACAUAAGACGAGAAGACCCUAUGGAGCUUCAGACACAAAGACAGACUAUGUUCAACACCUUUAAAAAAGAAACAAAACCAAAUACCCCCUGCUCUUAUGUC
rnacentral:rRNA from 1 species